rnacentral:rRNA from 1 species
UACGUAGGGUGCGAGCGUUGUCCGGAAUUACUGGGCGUAAAGAGCUCGUAGGUGGUUUGUCGCGUUGUUCGUGAAAACUCACAGCUUAACUGUGGGCGUGCGGGCGAUACGGGCAGACUGGAGUACUGCAGGGGAGACUGGAAUUCUGGUGUAGCGGUGGAAUGCGCAGAUAUCAGGAGGAACACCGGUGGCGAAGGCGGGUCUCUGGGC